GCUUGCUACCUGACCUAGCGGCGGACGGGUGAGUAAUGCUUAGGAAUCUGCCUAUUAGUGGGGGACAACAUUCCGAAAGGAAUGCUAAUACCGCAUACGCCCUACGGGGGAAAGCAGGGGAUCUUCGGACCUUGCGCUAAUAGAUGAGCCUAAGUCAGAUUAGCUAGUUGGUGGGGUAAAGGCCUACCAAGGCGACGAUCUGUAGCGGGUCUGAGAGGAUGAUCCGCCACACUGGGACUGAGACACGGCCCAGACUCCUACGGGAGGCAGCAGUGGGGAAUAUUGGACAAUGGGCGAAAGCCUGAUCCAGCCAUGCCGCGUGUGUGAAGAAGGCCUUUUGGUUGUAAAGCACUUUAAGCGAGGAGGAGGCUACUGAGAUUAAUACUCUUGGAUAGUGGACGUUACUCGCAGAAUAAGCACCGGCUAACUCUGUGCCAGCAGCCGCGGUAAUACAGAGGGUGCGAGCGUUAAUCGGAUUUACUGGGCGUAAAGCGUGCGUAGGCGGCUUUUUAAGUCGGAUGUGAAAUCCCUGAGCUUAACUUAGGAAUUGCAUUCGAUACUGGGAAGCUAGAGUAUGGGAGAGGAUGGUAGAAUUCCAGGUGUAGCGGUGAAAUGCGUAGAGAUCUGGAGGAAUACCGAUGGCGAAGGCAGCCAUCUGGCCUAAUACUGACGCUGAGGUACGAAAGCAUGGGGAGCAAACAGGAUUAGAUACCCUGGUAGUCCAUGCCGUAAACGAUGUCUACUAGCCGUUGGGGCCUUUGAGGCUUUAGUGGCGCAGCUAACGCGAUAAGUAGACCGCCUGGGGAGUACGGUCGCAAGACUAAAACUCAAGUGAAUUGACGGGGGCCCGCACAAGCGGUGGAGCAUGUGGUUUAAUUCGAUGCAACGCGAAGAACCUUACCUGGUCUUGACAUAGUAAGAACUUUCCAGAGAUGGAUUGGUGCCUUCGGGAACUUACAUACAGGUGCUGCAUGGCUGUCGUCAGCUCGUGUCGUGAGAUGUUGGGUUAAGUCCCGCAACGAGCGCAACCCUUUUCCUUAUUUGCCAGCGGGUUAAGCCGGGAACUUUAAGGAUACUGCCAGUGACAAACUGGAGGAAGGCGGGGACGACGUCAAGUCAUCAUGGCCCUUACGACCAGGGCUACACACGUGCUACAAUGGUCGGUACAAAGGGUUGCUACCUAGCGAUAGGAUGCUAAUCUCAAAAAGCCGAUCGUAGUCCGGAUUGGAGUCUGCAACUCGACUCCAUGAAGUCG
rnacentral:rRNA from 1 species